GCCUCUCGGUUGAAGGCUCUGACCGCUGCAUCUGCUGCGCCGCUCCUCCCAGGAUGGCUACCCUUAUUGUAAACAAGCCGGGAGCGGGACUAGACAGUGGCCAGCAGGGCAGCCAGGGGACGGCUGUGGUGAAGGUGCUGGAAUGUGGAGGCUAUGAAGAUGCCUUUUCUUUGCAGGGAGACAAAGUUCCUCGCCUUCUGCUUUGUGGUCACACAGUCUGUCAUGACUGUCUCACCCGCCUACCUCUUCAUGGAAGAGCAAUCCAUUGCCCAUUUGAUCGACAAGUAACGGACCUACGAGAUUCAGGUGUCUGGGGAUUGAAAAAAAGUUUUGCUUUAUUGGAGCUUUUGGAACGACUGCAGAAUGGACAUGUUGGUCAGUAUGGAGCUGCAGAAGAAGCCAUUGGGAUAUCUGGAGAGAGCAUCAUUCCUUGCGAUGAAGAUGAAGUUCACGUUGCAUCUGUAUAUUGCACUGUGUGUGCAACCCACUUGUGCUCAGAGUGUUCCCAAGUUACACAUUCUACAAAGACAUUAGCAAAACACAGGCGAGUGCCUCUAGCUGAUAAACCUCAUGAGAAAACCAUGCGCUCUCAGCACCAGGUGCAUGCCAUUGAGUUUGUUUGCUUAGAAGAAGGUUGUCAAACUAGCCCACUCACGUGCUGUGUCUGCAAAGAAACACCAAGGUCACAAGCUUUCAGUCACAAGCUUGGUGGAAAACACCAAGGUCACAAGCUUUAAGUAUUGGAACCAGAAGCUAAUCAGAUCCGAGCAUCAAUUUUAGAUAUGGCUCACUGCAUACGGACCUUCACCGAGGAAAUCUCAAAGUAUUCCAGAAAAUUAGUUGGAAUUGUUCAUCACAUUGAAGGAGGAGAACAAAUUGUGGAAGAUGGAAUUGGAAUGGCUCACACAGAACACGUACCAGGUACUGCAGAGAAUGCCCGGUCAUGUGUCCGAGCUUAUUUUUCUGAUCUACAUGAAACUCUAUGUCGUCAAGAAGAAAUGGCUCUAAGUGUCGUUGAUACCCAUGUUUGUGAAAAACUGAUUUGGCUCAGAAAACAACAAGAAGAUAUGACUAUUUUGUUGUCCCAGGUCUCAACAGCCUGCCUUCAUUGUGAAAAGACUUUGCAGCAGGAUGAUUGUAGAGUUGUCUUGGCAAAACAAGAAAUUACAAGGUUACUGGAAACAUUGCAGAAACAGCAGCAGCAGUUUACAGAGGUUGCAGAUCACAUUCAACUGGAUACCAGCAUCCCUGUCACUUUUAUGAAGGACAAUAGAGUUCACAUUGGACCAAAAAUGGAAAUUUGAGUUGUGACAUUAGGAUUAGACAGUGCUGGAAAAACUACUAUUUUGUUUAAGUUAAAACAGGAUAAGUUCAUGCAGCCCAUUCCAACAAUUGGUUUUAAUGUGGAAACUGUAGAAUAUAAAAAUCUGAAAUUCACUAUUUAGGACGUAGGUGGAAAACACAAAUUAAGACCAUUGUGGAAACAUUAUUAUCUCAAUACCCAAGCUGUUGUGUUUGUUGUUGACAGCAGUCAUAGAGACAGAAUUAGUGAAGCACACAGUGAACUUGCGAAGUUGUUAAUAGAAAAAGAACUCCGAGAUGCUUUACUC